rnacentral:pre_miRNA from 1 species
AAAAAAAUCAGGGUAUCGGUCUACCGAACAAUUUCACCUGCUCGGUGAAAAAUCCCCCCUUUUUCGA